ensembl:lncRNA novel transcript
UCGUCCCCAGCGCCUGCCCCCUCCCGACCAGGCCUGGGCUGAGGCCCAGGGUAAGGGGGCUGAGGCAGGCCACAGAGGAGCAAGACUUGUCAGGGGCCAGACCUGGGUAGGAGGAUUGUCCUCCAGGCACACACGGCCCCCAGCCCCCCAGCCUGUCGAACUGGGCUCUCCCAGAAGGUCCCCGGCUCCAGCCCAAGCAGGGAGCCAGGUUGGGGGUGUGGGAAGGCAGAAGUCCCAGGGAUCCUGGGGGAGGCUCAGGUUGUACCUGAAGGCCACAGUCUCCUCGACAGACCUCGGACGAGGUUGUAAGUGUUUUAAAGAAACUAGAGCAGCAGAGAAGAGAGACUCAGAAGCCCGUGGCACGGCUUUCUCGGCGUCCCCUCCAGCGAGGGGGUCUCCAUUGCUGCAGUUGCCGGUUUUGUCCAACCAGGAGGUUGACCCGAAACAGCCCUCCGUCUUCCUGCCCAUGAGGAUGAGGACAGGAAGCCAGACCCGGGAGAGAAAGCCCAGAUCAGACAGAUGGGGGUUGGGAGGGCCUAGUGGCUGAAACUGCCCUGCUUGGGGACAAUGCUCAGGCAGGACCAAUCCAAACGAGGGCACUGCUUAUGUGGUCCUUCCGGAGCAUCCUCCAAGGCAGAGCCUGGCUUCGGGCCCUCCCUGCAAGGACACCUGCCUCCACUCCCUGCCAGACCAGGCCUGGCUGCAGAGGCGGAGGGGCGGCAGGGCUGCCUGUCUCCACUGUUUGGCGGUGUUUACACGUGUCGCUGUCAGGGUGUCUGGACAGUGGGGGUCGGGGGCCUCCCGGGCCCAGACUUCCCCAGGCCUAUUCUCACACUGGUGAGAGGGCCCUAGGGGAAGGGUGUGGGCUGGGUGGCGGGGCCAGGCCAGCUGAGACCUACAGGACCGUGGAGCAUUUAGGUCUCCCACCCAACUCCACCCGGUCCUCUGAGCAUCAGUUACAGAGCCCAGGCAGCAGG